UACGUAGGGAGCAAGCGUUGUCCGGAAUCAUUGGGCGUAAAGCGCGCGUAGGCGGCCCUGUAAGUCCGUUGUGAAAGUCAAAGGCUCAACCUUUGAAAGCCGAUGGAUACUGCAGGGCUGGAGUCCGGAAGAGGCGAGUGGAAUUCCUGGUGUAGCGGUGGAAUGCGCAGAUAUCAGGAGGAACACCAAUAGCGAAGGCAGCUCGCUGGGACGGUACUGACGCUAAGGCGCGAAAGCGUGGGGAGCGAACAGG
rnacentral:rRNA from 1 species